rnacentral:lncRNA from 1 species
AAAGACUAAUCGGAGAAGACACAGGGUCGGUCUCACCAAUGCAGCCUAACGUCUCAAGAGCAGCAGCCUUCGUAAGUGCAAGUGAUCUCCCAAUGUGACUGAUGUAUGAAUCUUUCCUUGUUGAUUUUUGUUUAUAAAUUGCAUAAUAACAAUCAUUUAUAUAUAUAUAUAAUCUCAACUGGAAGGUGAGGAAUUCUUUUCAACAAGUACAUAGAAAUGUAUUUAACGAGACAGGGAUGGGAGCACAGCAGCAUCUUCCACUGUCAAAUCAACAUAACAACAUUAGAAAAAGGGAGAUAUAUUCCUGCUGCUUUUUUCCCAAAUGAAAAAGAGGGAUUCUAUCAACUUUGUCAAUCUUCGAUCGCGUGGGCAUAUGCUUCGAUGACUGUUCAAGAGAACAAAUGAGGAAAUGAUCAGCAGUCGAUACAACAUUCUGAGAGAAUGAUUGCAGUGCAAACGAUAUGCUCCUUAAUGACCCACAGAUAUGGCAAAUCUCAUGAUGACAGGCCAUUUCUCAUUUCUGCUGCUCAUGCCAAGUGAAUCAUAUCCCAUCUUACCUAUUAACUGUGUCAGAUUUGAAAUGGUGGAGAAGAGCGUCAGGUGUUGUACUUGAUGAAAUCCUGCCUGGCCUGAUUAAUAAUUGGCAAUAGGCAGUAGCAGACUGUGUACUGCACAAUACUAAAAGCGAGACUAAGGUAUAAAUGCAUGCAUGGCCUUUGAUGUUCC